AGAGAUCCGAAAUGAAUUGUUUAUUCAAUUGAAAAAGGCAAGAAAAAACUUACAUGUAAUAUAAAUAAAUUUUCCAGACAUAUCAUUACUUUUAAAUAUGAGAUGACAAACUAAAGGUUUUAAAAAGUCCUGAAUAACUGAAAUGGACAAAAAUACACAGAUUUAUUCAGAAUGUCAUACCGAUGAAGAUCACCUAAAAAUAUUUGGAAAAAUCAGAACUAUGAAUUUCAAUAUGGGACAAUACCCCUAAUGCGCCUUGAAAUGAGGAACACAAAAGUCACGUGUAAACAAAAAAUCUCUGUGUAGUGAUAUUUGACACAUUUCUAUGAUAAACAAAUAACUGAGCUGAACCAUUAGUGUUAAUUUAGAAAAUAAGGGAACACAGAAUAAAUGUGUAAAAACCAUGGAGCUAUGAAAUGUGUUCAAAGUAUUAAAAUUUCAAAGAACUUAUUGUGUUAAA